CUUACUUUUAAUUCUCUACAUAAUGUUGUUCCCACCUAUCUAUUCUCUCUAAUAUGUCCCAUCUAGGCCCUUACGAUCUGCUGAAGACUUACGUCUAUCUUCUGUCCGUACUCCCACCUUUGAUGCUCGCCUUCAAGAUUUCUCGAGGGCUGCACCGUUCCUGUGGAACUCGCUUCCCUCCUCCGUUUGAUGCUCACCCAGUCUCUACUCCUUCAAAAAAAAUCAUUAAAAACCCACUUCUUCAUAAAAGCGUAUCAAUUAAACUGUUA